rnacentral:rRNA from 1 species
UACGGGGGGGGCAAGCGUUGUUCGGAAUUACUGGGCGUAAAGGGCUCGUAGGCGGCCAACUAAGUCGGAUGUGAAAUCCCCAGGCUUAACCUGGGAACUGCAUCCGAUACUGGCAGGCUUGAAUCCGGGAGAGGGAUGUGGAAUUCCAGGUGUAGCGGUGAAAUGCGUAGAUAUCUGGAGGAAUACCGGUGGCGAAGGCGGCAUCCUGGACCGGCAUUGACGCUGAGGAGCGAAAGCUAGGGGAGCAAACGGG